AGUGAACGCUGGCGGUAGGCCUAACACAUGCAAGUCGAACGGCAGCACAGUAAGAGCUUGCUCUUACGGGUGGCGAGUGGCGGACGGGUGAGGAAUACAUCGGAAUCUACUUUUUCGUGGGGGAUAACGUAGGGAAACUUACGCUAAUACAGCAUACGACCUACGGGUGAAAGCAGGGGAUCUUCGGACCUUGCGCGAUUGAAUGAGCCGAUCUCGGAUUAGCUAGUUGGCGGGGUAAAGGCCCACCAAGGCGACGAUCCGUAGCUGGUCUGAGAGGACGAUCAGCAACACUGGAACUGAGACACGGUCCAGACUCCUACGGGAGGCAGCAGUGGGGAAUAUUGGACAAUGGGCGCAAGCCUGAUCCAGCCAUACCGCGUGGGUGAAGAAGGCCUUCGGGUUGUAAAGCCCUUUUGUUGGGAAAGAAAAGCAGCAGGUUAAUACCCCGCUGUUCUGACGGUACCCAAAGAAUAAGCACCGGCUAACUUCGUG
rnacentral:rRNA from 1 species